AUUGAACGCUGGCGGCAGGCCUAACACAUGCAAGUCGAACGGUAACAGGAAGCAGCUUGCUGCUUCGCUGACGAGUGGCGGACGGGUGAGUAAUGUCUGGGAAGCUGCCUGAUGGAGGGGGAUAACUACUGGAAACGGUAGCUAAUACCGCAUAAUGUCGCAAGACCAAAGAGGGGGACCUUCGGGCCUCUUGCCAUCGGAUGUGCCCAGAUGGGAUUAGCUUGUUGGUGGGGUAACGGCUCACCAAGGCGACGAUCCCUAGCUGGUCUGAGAGGAUGACCAGCCACACUGGGACUGAGACACGGUCCAGACUCCUACGGGAGGCAGCAGUGGGGAAUAUUGCACAAUGGGCGCAAGCCUGAUGCAGCCAUGCCGCGUGUAUGAAGAAGGCCUUCGGGUUGUAAAGUACUUUCAGCGGGGAGGAAGGGAGUAAAGUUAAUACCUUUGCUCAUUGACGUUACCCGCAGAAGAAGCACCGACUAACUCCGUG
rnacentral:rRNA from 1 species